UCCCAGCAGUCCAAGUUGCAGCCAUCAUUAUUGGGUCUAAAACAUCCGUAGCUUGUUAAGUAAGUUUCUUGUGAAAUCUCAUAUCUCAAGUAUGAGGCGGGCAAGAAAUACUACUUAGCUAGAGACCGGUAGGCGUAAGGAGUAUGUCCAAGGUAGUGGUUAAAUACGUUAAUCUUGGAUAGACUAACAAUUAGCGAAGGCACCUUACGAGAACGGAUCUGACAGUGAGGGAUGAAGGCCAGGGGCGCAAAACGGAUUAGAUACCCGAGUA
rnacentral:rRNA from 1 species